UACGUAGGUGGCAAGCGUUAUCCGGAAUUAUUGGGCGUAAAGCGCGCGUAGGCGGUUUUUUAAGUCUGAUGUGAAAGCCCACGGCUCAACCGUGGAGGGUCAUUGGAAACUGGAAAACUUGAGUGCAGAAGGGGAGAGUGGAAUUCCAUGUGUAGCGGUGAAAUGCGUAGAUAUAUGGAGGAACACCGGUGGCGAAAGCGGCUCUCUGGUCUGUAACUGACGCUGAUGUGCGAAAGCGUGGGGAUCAAACAGG
rnacentral:rRNA from 1 species